UAUCAAUAAAGGACUACCGUAUUAAACACUUUUACUAACCGCAUGCAGAUGGACAGGCGCUCUGCAGGUGGGAUUGAGCCCCUGUAGUUGGUGUCUAGGUGGGCGAUGCUUGGACCAACGCGGGACAGCAGGUCCUCAAACUGGGCAAGGGAAAGACGGUGGUACCGCUAAAACCUGCCGUCAUCCAGGCACAGCUCCUGGAGCAAAUGGUGAAACUCACCAAACUGCUCACGCCUCUGGAGGACAUGAUGGACCCAGGUACGGCGAGGAUGUCCUUUAAGCCGCUGCUCUGCUCUCCACAGUAAAUAGAGAAGGGAGACGGAUCUGCACGGAUAGCUGACCCCUCAGGCCCUAUUCUCUGUAGUUAUUUCAUUGUUGUGGCUUUCCUAGCAGCCUCUUCAUGGGUCCCCAUUUACCUGUGGGAUUCCAAGACUCUGAAAUAAGCGUGCUCACCUCUACUCUCAGUGAUUCUCUCGAUCAAAUUGACAUCUCGGAUUUGGAUAACUCUCUCUUCCCGAGGACUCCGAGUUCUUCUUCACCAGUGCUCCAGCCCAUCACGCCCCCAUACCAGCGACCCUCAGGGAAGAAUAUUCGUCUUUCCGAUUGGGAAAGGCAUGAGCUGUUCUCAAUGCUAGGUUGUCCCGCUUCUUCCGGCCACAGCUCCAAACCCACCGGCGCUUCUUCUUUCCCGUGACCCUCGGGGAAAAAUAUUCGUCUGUCCGCCUGAGAGAGGCAAGAUUUGCUCUCCGCGGUUGGUCCUCCAGAGCAGCGCUUCAGGCAGACGAAAUUCGCAGCGAAACACGGUCUACUUAAGCAUCUCAGGAGGAACAGGACGACCGGCAGGACCACAAGGAUAAGGACCACAAGGACAAGGCGCAGACGGCAUCAGCUCGCUUCUAUCGCUCUUCGAGCAGUAUGUCUCGUCGCUGAAUUAAUUCCGCUCAUCAUAUAAAAAAGCUUUUUUUUUCCUUUGUUUUUCAAACAACGGUGUUUUUUUUUACAUAUUCUUG